rnacentral:rRNA from 1 species
GACGAACGCUGGCGGCGUGCUUAACACAUGCAAGUCGAACGGAAAGGCCCUGCUUUUGUGGGGUGCUCGAGUGGCGAACGGGUGAGUAACACGUGAGUAACCUGCCCUUGACUUUGGGAUAACUUCAGGAAACUGGGGCUAAUACCGGAUAGGAGCUCCUGCUGCAUGGUGGGGGUUGGAUAGAUUCGGCGGUUGGGGAUGGAAUCGCGGCUUAUCAGCUUGUUGGUGGGGUAGUGGCUUACCAAGGCUUUGACGGGUAGCCGGCCUGAGAGGGUGACCGGCCACAUUGGGACUGAGAUACGGCCCAGACUCGUACGGGAGGCAGCAGUGGGGAAUAUUGCACAAUGGGCGGAAGCCUGAUGCAGCAACGCCGCGUGCGGGAUGACGGCCUUCGGGUUGUAAACCGCUUUCGCCUGUGACGAAGCGUGAGUGACGGUAAUGGGUAAAGAAGCACCGGCUAACUACGUG